CUAGUAAAAAAACUCUACAUUUGUUAUUGCUAGGCCUCCCUUUCUACUUUUGCAUUCCAUAUCUACAAAUUUCUGAAUGACCUUGCAUAGAACUUAACCUGAUAUUUCAAAAUCAAAAAAUUAAAUAAAUUAACCCAUAAAAAAGUGGGUAUUGAAAAUAUUGAUAGAUUUAACAACCCAAAUUAGAACUAAGAUAAAAAAAAAGUACAACAAAUAGAAACUUCAAAAAGAUUGUAAGAAGAGAGAAAUAUAGUAGCACCUUCAGGUCCUUCACCCCCUUUUAAGACCAAACUCUAGCUCUGCUCUACUGAAAAUAUUGAUAGAUUUAACAACACAAGUUAGAACUAAGAUUAAAAAAAAAGUACAACAAAUAGAAACUUCAAAAAGAUUGCAAGGAGAGAAAUAUAAUAGCACCUUUAGGUCCUUCACCCCCUUUUAAGACCAAAUUCUAGCUCUGCUCCGUCAAGGAAGGAUGCCUUAAAAUGAGAUAUGGGUACAAAACUACAAUUAUCAUAACUUUUGCUGCUUGGAUUUAGUACCAUGUUCAGAAUUGUCUGUUGUCACAAGAAAUGGAUGAUUUGAAAAUUUUAUACUCAUAUAAUAAUCACACUAAUUAAAAAAUAUAUAUACAUAUAGACAGAAAUCUCUAGAAACAAAAUGGGUCUUUCAUGAAAAGGGAUCUUUAGGUUCUGCUAACAGAGAAUUACUCAGAUUAGAGAAAUACCCAGUUGAGUUGAGUAAAGGGAGCUGAAAAUAGUAGCUAAAUUAAGGUGGUAUACUCAGAAGAGAGGGGGAGGAGGUAGCAGACGAAGACAAUUGGGUGACAUUAGAGAAAGAAUAAAGAAUAAGAGAAAGGGUAUAAUUUUGGGUAGUCUUGACGAAAAAGAAAGAGAGUGCGUGUGGUAUAAUUUUGAUUUUUCUAUGGGAAAGAGAGAGAAAAAAGGGGCUACUAAGAUCCCGUUUGGCUGUGCUGCGUCUGUUUGGCUCAAACCGCUCAAC
rnacentral:lncRNA from 1 species